GCGAUAUUAAAACACAGUAAAAGACUGAGGAAUAACCUCUUUAAUCUGCGUUCACUGAUUAUUUUGAGUGCAGAAGACGGUUUUAGAAUUCCUGAAGAAAGGGUAAAAUUGUUGAUAUAGGAAAACUUUCGAUGGCGAAAGCAUUUACCGAUUCUGUUCUGACGCUAGGUACUAAAGCUUGGGGAGAAAGAGGAUUAGAGACCUCGUAGUCCUUGCCUUAAACAAUGAGUGUUCAACGUCUUAGAAUACUCGGAUUCACUUAAUUGAUGCGAUCCUAGAGGAUUCUUGGGGGUUUGAAGUUAACGCGCGAAACACCGCCUGGGGAAUGUGGCCGCAAGGUUAAACUCAAAGGAAUUGACGGAGACUCAUACAAGGAGUGGAGCAUGUGGUUUGAAGUUAACGCGCGAAACAUUAACGCGCGAAACACCGCCUGGGGAAUGUGGCCGCAAGGUUAAACUCAAAGGAAUUGACGGAGACUCAUACAAGGAGUGGAGCAUGUGGUUUGAAGUUAACGCGCGAAACA
rnacentral:rRNA from 1 species